CUGGAGCCUGCCUGCUACCAGAGCUGAUAUGAUCAGUUACUGAGUGAGAAGUAGAUCAGCUCCACAACCACUUUCUGAAUGUGGAAACACCUGAAUGAUGGGCUGAAUACUGCCAUCCACUGGCUGGCUGCAUGGAAAAUCUGUUCAACUUGCAUUUCAUUAAGGCAAUAUUAAAAAGUACCUUAAAAAAUAACAGGCAAACUCACCCCAACCACCAUCUCUUCCAUGGUUUAGUUUGUGCCGCAGAAGGCCGACAUUAUCUGCUGAUUCAUUUUAUCAGCCAGAACAUGUACACAAAAACUCAGCCAAAAAUGAGAAAUGGAAAUGGGAAGACUGGGUGGAAAAAAAACUGUGCUCAGGAAGAAU